UACGGAGGGUGCAAGCGUUGUCCGGAAUCACUGGGCGUAAAGGGCGCGUAGGCGGCUCAUGAAGGCUGUGGUGAAAGUCCGGGGCUCAACCUCGGAUCGGCCGUGGCGACUCGUGGGCUGGAGCACUGUAGAGGCGGGUGGAAUUCCGGGUGUAGCGGUGGAAUGCGUAGAGAUCCGGAAGAACACCAGUGGCGAAGGCGGCCCGCUGGGCAGUGGCUGACGCUGAGGCGCGACAGCGUGGGGAGCAACAGAG
rnacentral:rRNA from 1 species